UUCCUGGUGGUCCAGUGGUUAGGACUCCACACUUUUACUGCUGAGGGCCUAGGUUCAAGUCCUGGUCAGGGAA
rfam:TPA: Bos taurus chromosome 27, whole genome shotgun sequence.